AUUGCUCGUACACCAGCUGGAUCUUCAAUUGCUGCACUUCGGCCUUCCCCUCCCCAAGGGCGACAGAUAGCUCUUCUACGAUUCUCCUCAGGGAUUGGAGUUCGUCGGAAUCCCGAACGGGAGCAAACUGAGCCCCUUCAGCUAGCUGCCUUUGAAGGCGGGCAACUUCAUCGGUCGCCAUCCUGAGCUUCCCCCUGUAUUCAUCCAUCUUCCUACACCAGCCGGCCCGGUACGCGUCAUUGCUCGCCUCGGCAUCCCGGAGCUGUUGCUGAAGGUCGGAG
rnacentral:lncRNA from 1 species